rnacentral:rRNA from 1 species
CAGUCGAACGGACUUUUCAUGAAGCCUAGCGAUUGAAAAGUUAGUGGCGGACGGGUGAGUAACGCGUGGGUAACCUGCCUUGUACUGGGGGACAACAGUUGGAAACGACUGCUAAUACCGCAUAAGCGCACAGCUUCGCAUGAAGCGGUGUGAAAAACUCCGGUGGUACAAGAUGGACCCGCGUCUGAUUAGCUGGUUGGUGAGGUAACGGCCCACCAAGGCGACGAUCAGUAGCCGGCCUGAGAGGGUGAACGGCCACAUUGGGACUGAGACACGGCCCAAACUCCUACGGGAGGCAGCAGUGGGGAAUAUUGCACAAUGGGGGAAACCCUGAUGCAGCGACGCCGCGUGAGUGAAGGAGUAUUUCGGUAUGUAAAGCUCUAUCAGCAGGGAAGAAAGUGACGGUACCUGAAUAAGAAGCCCCGGCUAACUACGUGCCAGCAGCCGCGGUAAUACGUAGGGGGCAAGCGUUAUCCGGAUUUACUGGGUGUAAAGGGAGCGUAGACGGUCAAGCAAGUCAGAAGUGAAAGGCUGGGGCUCAACCCCGGGACUGCUUUUGAAACUGUUUGACUGGAGUGCUGGAGAGGUAAGCGGAAUUCCUAGUGUAGCGGUGAAAUGCGUAGAUAUUAGGAGGAACACCAGUGGUGAAGGCGGCUUACUGGACAGUAACUGACGUUGAGGCUCGAAAGCGUGGGGAGCAAACAGGAUUAGAUACCCUGGUAGUCCACGCCGUANACGAUGAAUACUA